GCCUUAUUAGUAUAAAAAGUAUAGUUGCCUUCCAAGCAACGGGUUUAGGUUUCUAAAUAAAGUA
rnacentral:tRNA from 1 species